AGAUGGAAGAAGGAGAUCCGUCCAAAGUGUGAGUUUUGUGACAUCGACAUGCAAGUUCUACAAUUUAUCCGUCCAGAUGGGAGAAGGAGAUCAGUCCAACGGACGCAUCUAAAAAGCAACAUAUGCAGAGCCAUUCGCCCGAGAUAUAAACAAGCUGGUGGCCGCACAUCUCUACAUGUAUUUUAUUUGGGAUAGCCAAAUCCUGGCGCGCCCAGCCGCUGCUCGUGAACCCCGCCUCUAUCAGCUCCACUUCACCAGAGCCGUCAGUCCACAGGAGUAGGGGUAGCGGAUCCCCUAUAGAGGCCAAAUCUCGGUGCGCCAAGCCGCUGCUCGUGAACCACGCCUCCAUCAGCUCCACUACACCGGAGCCGUCAGUCCGCAGGAGUAGGGGUAGCAGGGACGCAUUCAUGGCUUCAUUCAACAAGUGGAAUGUGGGCAAAUGUUGAUCAACAAGUCUGCGGUAUUAAGGUUAGCUGCUAGUACAUAUUAUGGAGUUGGGGACAUGAGGGAGCGAGUGAUACAUGGAUCGGUGGGUGUAGUCUUUGUAGGUUGAGUAGAUUCUUGUAGAAACAACUCUUGUACAACUCUUUUCAUCUCACUCAUAUUUCUAGUUUUUGCAUGGGGCAUCUUCUAGCAUAUGAUUGAAACCCAUUUCCCAUUGUAUUAUGCAUUUAAAAACUCAUAAGUAGUUAAGAGUUCAUUUGUGGUGGUUAGCAAUUCAAUAGCUAAAAAAAGGAUACAUCAGCUCAAAUAUGCUUGCCAUAAGUAUUUAAGAGUUUAUUUGCGGUGGUUAAAAAUGAAGGUACUUUGUUCCGAGGACAAGAACAACUAGAAGUUCAAAUGCUGAUGUGUUAAAAAAACUCCAGCUACUUUGUUUAAGCUUUUGAUGUCUUAAUUUCUGCACUUCUACAUAGAAUUUGGCGGCUCACUUUUGCUAAUUUUCUGUAGUUCUCAGGUUAGAAAACGGUCAGUUCCAUGUGUAUUUAACAGCGGGUCCAUGUAUAUUUAACAGCAAGUCCAUGUAGUACUACAUGAAAAGUACUGCUAGUGAGACUUCACUGCUCCAUUCCAACAAACGUGUAUACGCAAUCCUGGUUUGACAAAGUACUCUGCUACUGCUGGUUUCAGUUCCCUCACUGGAUUUGCAGGCUCACGACCAUCCUCUAACACCCCGUCAGUGCCACCGAUUUGAAGGAUCUCCAUGACUAGUAUCUUUGAGUUCUGAUGCUCCUAACAAUUGUUUGGAAUCUUAUCUUCAAUAUCUUGCUUAUAUGGAACAGUAGAAUGUCGCAAUAUAUACUUGUACAAUUUUUUAGUGCUGAUGACUAGUACUUGCCUUGGCAGUACAACGGCAUGCUUCGCUGCCGGUUGCGAGGAUGUGCAACAUAUGUUUAAGCAAGCAUUUAUGUUGUAUUACAAACAAAAAUCUUUCCUCUGUUCCAUAGAAGAUUGUGUGACUUUUUUAAAUACAUUUUAGAAAAGAAGUGUACAGACUGUAGCUUAGCAUUUGA